AAAACCUCCCUUCAACGGUCAGUCUCAGAUGAGCGAUAAACAGAGGGAAAAUGGGCAAACCUCCCUCUCAUUCCAUCCUCACCUUUGUUCGUCAAAACGCCCGCAAGCUCCAAAACCCUACCCAUUUCCAUGAGAUCCGGAAUCUCUCCGUCCGACGCGUCGGACCAGAAGAACAAACCCUAGAAGAACAGUACACCGAGAUCGCGAAAAGGGUCUGCCAAACGAUCCGAACCCAACCCAGAUGGGAAACCACCCUUCUAUCAGAUUUCCCUUCCCUCGAUCUCUCCGACCCCAACUUCAUCAACUCAAUCUUCAAGCAUCAGAACAACAUAUUGCUGUCACUUCGAUUCUUCCAAUGGCUUUGCUCCCAGAAUCGCUCCCCGCCGGAUGCGCAAUCUUUCGAUAUUGUUUUCAGUGCUCUUGUCAAUGCCAAGGCCAUGAAUGCUGCAACGACCCUCUUGCGUUCGACAAAAUGUCGAGCCGAACCUGCUUCCUUGGAGACUUACAUAAAUUGUAUCUGCAAAGAGGGGAAGAUUGAAGAGGCCUUAUACGCAUUUUCUGAAUUGAAGAAGGUUGGAUCUCCGAUGAAUCUUACGGUCUGGAAUGCGGUCUUGCUAGCUUCUCUCCGGGCGAGACGGACUGAUCUCGUGUGGGAGUUGUAUGGCGAGAUGAUGGAGUCUGGUGUAGCGGGUAAUGUCGCAACCAUCGGUUGUCUGAUUCGGGCCUUCUGUGAGGAGAAGAAGUUAUUGGAGGCGUACGAGCUUCUUCAGGAGGUUGUGGCAAGUGGGUCGAUGCCAGAGGUCGUUUCUUUCACCAGAUUGAUUUCCGAGUUCAGCAAAGAAGGGAACUAUGGGAGGGUUUCGGAGCUUCUACAUCUGAUGAUUGCGAAGAACCAAGCCCCGGAUGUUUUUACGUAUCAGGGCAUUAUCCACGGGCUUUGCAGGAAUGGUAUGGGUGGAGAAGGUUUCCGGGUCUUUAAUGAUCUCAAGGAGAGAGGGUAUGCUCCUGAUGUGGUGAUGUAUACAACGAUGAUUGAUGGGCUUUGCAAGAUGGGUAGAAUGGAUGAUGCCUGUAAGCUUUGGUUUGAAAUGAUUGGGAAGGGAUUGAUUCCGAAUGAAUACACGUAUAACGUCCUUAUCGAUGGAUACUGUAAAUUGGGUAAUUUGGAAUCGGCCUGGUUGCUGUAUACAGAGAUGUGCGAUCGAGGUUAUAGAGAAAGCACGGUGACCUGCAAUAUACUGAUUGCCGGUAUAUGUUUGCAGGGAAGGAUGGACGCUGCAUACCAUCUUUUUGAAGAAAUGCUGGAGAAGGGUAUUGGUCGCGACGUCAUUACGUACAAUACUCUGAUUCAGGGAUUCUGCAACAAUGGGAAGACAGUUGAGGCUAUGGGUCUUUACAGUGAGCUCUUGGGAGCAGGUUUGCAGCCAAGCACUUCCUCUUAUACACCAUUGAUCCGGGGCCUUUGCGAGGAGGGGAAUGUGCAAGAAGCCAUAGAGUUGUUGAAUGAUAUGCUGAGUAAGGGUCUGGAGCCAUUGAUCUGUACUUAUGAUUAUAUUAUAACUGGAUUCUGUGGUCGAGGUGAUGCUACGGAAGGCAUGGAGUGGUUGGCAAGAAUGUUAGACAGCAAGCAAAGACCCCGAGAAGACACCUUUAACAGAUUAGUAGAAUGCCUCUGUUUAGAAGAUCGAGCAGAUGACACUUUACUUGUUUUGGAUGCUAUGUUUGGGAUGGGCUACACUCCUGGGGUGCCCCUUUUUGGGUUGCUUGUCGGUCGAAUUUGCAGGAAUUCAUACCAAACUGAUGAAUGUCUUAAGGAGAUCUUGGGAAGGAAUUUCAGCCUCUGAGUUCUCCCUCCUGUCCUCUAAUGGGAAACAUCUAGGGAUUUUACUCGAAAGCAAGCUUUUGCACGCAUCAGCGGCUCAGAUGUCCUCUCCCAAAACCGACUCUCUCUGUCUGCUAUAAAUUCCCUCUCUUCCUUCUUCUCUCCCUUUGUAAAUCCCGCCUAACACGAAGAUGGGGCGAUCAGUUGAUGCCGCGGUUGGUAGUGCUGCUGGAGGCGGUAGUUGCCGCAGCUGGUGGGUUGCUAGAAAUAAUGGAGGGCCAGGCCAGAAGCAAGGGUUGCUGGAAUAGUGUCUGCUCCCAGCAGAGCACAUGGAUAAAAAUCUUGUUGCCGGAGAAGAGAUGAAAUCAGGUUUUUGGAAGGAGGAGGUGGACUGCUGGAACUAGUUGUGUGUGGUUGGAAAGUGAUUUCGAAUCCCUAGGGUUUCGGAGGUGCAGCAGUUGCACUGUUAACGGCGAUGGGGCCGAGCAGAGACGGAGCAGGGACUGCUCGUGAGUCUGCUAGUUUCAACGGCAGGUGUUGGUUACCAGUGGCAGCCGCUGUGUGUGUGUGGCGUGGGAUUUCUGUGGAGAUGGUGGAAGACUAUCUGCUCAGUUUAUUUUAUAUGGAGGCUUUCUCAAACAUAUGUUGAGUUGCUGGAAAUCCAAAACCCAAUGAUUGUGGAAGAAUAUGAUGUCUCACGUGACGCGUCAAUCCAAAAUAAGUAAGUUGCAGGACAGUCCACAGAGUGAGUGAGGUUAUGAGAAGCUAUCACCAGACUAUCAUACUAUCAUAUCCAUCUGAUUUAUGGGCUGCAUAUAGGUGGUUAUACCAAUGACCCUAUAAAAAUAGAGAUCUAAAAAUACCCAAGUAUUCUUUUAUUAGAGAUGGUACUGUUAUUACUCUUUGGUUGUUGUGAUUAAUGACCUUUUUAUAUAUACAUUGUCAAUGAUGAUGAGGAACUGGCGAGGGCCUCACAAGCAUUGUUGUGUGAAAGUAACACAGUUUUGAAAUAGUGAUCGCUCAGUGGUCAUCAAGGACUGGAUAAAGCUCCACAGAUGAUAGAUAUGGACAACCUACAAUAAUUGGAUCAUUCGGUAAAACUGGAGUUCCCAACUCAGAUGCUUGGAUAUUUGUGUAAGCUUCAAGAAUGAUCGUCCAGAAGAAUUGGAUGCUAGGAAACAGUUCUAUCAGACUACGGCCCCAAGAAAGAUGAAUAUUUUGCCCUCCUAGCUGAGUUCCAUUCAACAUCAGUAAAGCCUCCUCUGCACAUGCCUCCUAAUUAGUAUUGAUGUGUGUGCCAGAUGGAGAUGAAUAUGAUACGAAUGGGGAUGAAGGCCCUGUCCAAGUGCUAACAAGUAUGUGGAUCUCAAACAGAUAGGCAGUGCAGGUGGAUCCUCUCCUGCCAAAUAAAUCCAUUGCAUUUCCAGGCCUUGGCACGCUUUCAGGAAUUCACCAACAGAUAUUGCCAAGAAAAGAAAUCUGCAUUUAUUGCAGAAGGUCAUCAAAUAAGUUUCCUGCUAGCUAGACAGAUAGGAGAGGCCUAGCCAAUCAGAGCUUAGCUGCGUUAGCUGUUGCAAGCCCAAUGACACCAGACCUUGGUUUUUUGAGUGUGUUCCUAGUCUACAUGCUAACGCUAUGUAAUAGUUUGAUGCAGUAGGGUGCAUCUGUAGCUCGUUUUGAAAAUUUUAAAUAGAUAGAUAAUUUUUGUUGGUAUUAUGCUUCUAUGAAUGGAUUAAAAUGA